CUACGGGGGGCACCAGUGGGGAAUAUUGGACAAUGGGCGAAAGCCUGAUCCAGCAAUACCGCGUGAAUGAUGAAGGCCUUAGGGUUGUAAAGUUCUUUUAGUUGGAAAGAUAAUGACGGUACCAACAGAAAAAGCCCCGGCUAACUCCGUGCCAGCAGCCGCGGUAAGACGGAGGGGGCUAGCGUUGUUCGGAAUUACUGGGCGUAAAGGGCGCGUAGGCGGAUUAGUAAGUUGGGAGUGAAAGCCCGGGGCUUAACCUCGGAACUGCUUUCAAAACUGCUAGUCUUGAGUGAAGUAGGGGAUGAUGGAAUUCCUAGUGUAGAGGUGAAAUUCUUAGAUAUGAGGAGGAAUACCGGUGGCGAAGGCGGUCAUCUGGACUUCAACUGACGCUGAGGCGCGAAAGCGUGGGGAGCAAACAGGAUUAGAUACCCGUGUAGUC
rnacentral:rRNA from 1 species